CUCUUCCCCCAUGGCUCAGCCGCCACUAUACUCCGGCUGGGUGGCUCAGCCGCCACCCGCCGCCGCCAUACACCACCACUAGCACCAAGAUGGUUCUCUCCAAUUAUGGAGGGCAAUCUCAGAUCUUCUAGCUGAUCUAACUUGACCGUCGGAGCCCGCUCCCGGGGCACAGUCCCUGGGGCGGCUCUAACGUGUCUUUCUGAUUGUGAUGUCAGAUCUCUGCCGCAAUAGAAGACCAGAAGACUCGUCGGAGGCUGAUGUUCCAUCAUUUGGCGCCAUCCCGGAUUUGAGCAAGUAGCAAAAGCAUCAGUUGCUUCCAAGCUCGUUUUUCCUCAGAUCUGAUGUUUUCAUCUCAGGUUUCUUUAGAUCUGUUAAUUUAUAGUAUCGUUUGCUCAGAUCUGUUCAUGUUUAGCAUCAUUUGGUUCAGAUCUGUUUGUUUUUUGCCAAGAUCCGUUCAAAUUUGUUACACCAUAUUCUAGAUCUGUAGAUCUUAUGGUUCUACACGAUUUUCUUCACUCAAAUAUUCCCCAAACGUGCAAAAGAUUCUUAGAUCUGUUCCUGUUUACAUUUUGGGGUUUUGAUUGAGCAAGAUAAGAAGAAAACACGUUUUAUGAGUGUUGACUCGUAUUCAUCAGCUCAUAAGAUCAGAAAACUCCUUUUUAUAGUUGGGUUUUUCUGUAUACAACUUUAUUUCAUGAAACAAAUGUUUGUAAAAACAGCUUUGCUGUUCAUGCAUCUUUCAAGUUUACAAAAAACCGUAUCAGAUCCAUUUUUUGGCUUAUAUUUUGAUGAGUUGUUCAGCAACUCUUGGAGAAAAUGGGUUUUUACGAGUUUUUUCUGAUGCUUGUUCAUAUUUCAGUGUUUUAUCCAGCAACUUCGAGAAGAGAAAAAAAAAGUUUUUGAUCAUUUACCCUAUUUCCAUAUACGUUAUUAAGAAAUCGUUUGCAGUUCAUAUUUUUUUCACACAACUAUAUUCAAGUUGUUUGCGUUACUUCAGAAGUUUGAGAAAGAAGAAACUUUUUUUUUAUGAGUUUUUACCUUUUAAACCUUUAUAAACCGACCUGAUUUGUUUGUAGCUCAGAUCUUUAGAUUUGUUGUGUUUUUGUUUGCUCAAACACAUUUAAGUUUACAAAUAAUUUAUCGGAUCUGUUUUAGCCCAUAUUUUGGUGGAUUUGUCCGAUUUUAAGAAUAAAAGAAGCUUUAUAUGGGUUUUUUAUUAUUUCUUUAUAUUAGUUUAUGUCAUCAAAAAAUUCAUUUCAGUUGCUAAUUCUUAAUGUACAACUCUGAUAUGCUUGGAUAUUUCUUUAAUCUACCAACAAAGAAAAUUUCGUUUUAAAAUCACAUUUCAAUACUUUACCUCAAAAUUUUACUGUGUAAUAAUUUGCUGUUUAAAAGCUGUAAAAAAAAAAGAAAGAAAAAAAAAAAGAGUUGCAUAUACCCUUUACCAAAAUAUAUUUCAUUAUCCUUUAUCUCAAAAUUUAUACCUAGCCUAUCUUUCUACUACAACACAUCAUAUCAAUUUCUUACAAGAUACAAAUAAAUUACAAAGAAUAGAGUUGGUGUUUUGUCAGCAUUCAGACGACAUUUUCAGAAAAAAAAAAAAAAAAGAGGGGAGGAGGUGACUAUAUGCUAUAAACUAUAAAGCAGAAGACAAAAAAAGAGGAAGAAGGGGUUAUCUCAGCUUCUCAAACCUCCAAUCGUCGGAAUCUGUUUCCUACUCCCGAGCAUUACCUGUUGACCUCCAGCCAACGACCACGAGCGUAGCAGACGGCUCCAUCGCUACUCCGCCACUGUCGACUGGUAUAUCAGCAAGAGGGGAACCGAGUCUCACGUGACUCUUCUUCUUUGUUAGUUUGGCGACAACCGGUGCAACCCGGCACCACCGCUCCUUCACCACAGUUACCUUAUUUAUCGUUGCUCCAGCCUCCACCUACAAGUUACGAGUCCCGAUGAGGAACCAAACCCACUGGGCAAUUUCUAAUCGCUCCGCCAGCAACCAUAUCCCGUCGAUAUCCCUGCAAUACAAGCGGCGCCACUCGACCAUCGCUACCCUAACUAGUUCAAUCGCCGGCCCCUGUGUUUGAUUAAUCCUCUGCACUCGUCGAACUCUGGAAAGUAAUCACCAGGAGAUCUGCUCACCGACACCAAAACAAAGUCGCCAUCAGUUUUCGAUUUCUCUUUGUGCACCCUUGGGAAAUAUCGUGAGAGCAUGAGGAGGAGGGGGCAAGACGAAGCAACAACAAGAAGGCCCUGAGUGACCCUUGGAGCGUUCAGACGCACAAAAGAGAGAACUUGGGCUUAAAGCUCCAUAAACCCUAACGGGCUGCAUUCAUACGUAGGCUAUAACAUAUGAUUUGGGCUUCCACAUAUUUUUGCAUCUGGACUGCCUAAAAAACGAUUAAAUGGCCCAGUUUUGACAAGAAUAAAUUGGCCUGUUAGUCAACACUAAAGUGAUAUGAUUACACUCAACAAGUCUGUCUCUAAAAAAAAAAGGAUAAAGGAGGCGUGGGCCUAAUAGACUACAAUUCUGUUUUGGGCUCCUCUCAAUUUGGGCUAUCUCGCAUUUUUUGUGUCGUUUCAACAAUAAAAAAUAGGUCGUCUUUGCAAGAUAAGAUCAACAGUUUCGUGUGCGCUAAUUCAAUUUAGCUAAAUCCAAAUCAAGAAGAUGUGGUCUAAGGCCCGUUUGUUUACCUCUUAAUUGGAAAAUUAAGAGACAAUGUCUUAAAAAUUCAGAUUCAGACUGUUUGUUUGCAUCUUAUUUUUUACCUCUUAAAAUUAUAAUUGCCUCUUAUUUUUUCAGAUAUUAAACAAGGUCUGAAAGAUUAAAAAAAACACGCAUACCUAUUUUGCCCUAAUAAACAAUCGACUAGUUUUCUUCCCUUCGCAUCUGCUCCCAAUCGCAUCUGCUCCUAAUCGCGCUUGGUUCUCUUCACCAGCAAGGAUCCGACGACGAGGCCUCCACCCUUCCCCGUCGACGACGAUGCACCCUGUAAUGUCGCCGCCGCCGCCGCAUGUCCUCCCGGCUCCAAUGCGUUUUUGUAAUCUGCCAAUCAGGUUGACUUGUGGUUUGAUACCAGAAACAAUGGAGUAAACAAAGAAGCAAGAUUAAUCAAUGAAUUGAUUAUAAAAGCAGUUGAAGUUUUGAAAGGAUGUAUUCAUGUAUCAACUUCUGCUGAUUAUGGGGGACUUUGUGUAAUUGUAGGUAGAUAAUUUAUAAAUAUUCAUUAUAUUUGUUGAAUGCAAGUUGGGAAAUUUAUGCUACUUUUUGUGUGGUUUAUUAUUAAUAAAUGACACCAGAGGAUGUAUAAUUAUGGUA